GACUCCAUAGCUAAGUGGUUAUAGCAUGAGAUUGCAGUUAUUACCUUAAGUCGGUAAUUGUGUGACAAUCUCGGGGUCGCGUGUUCGAGUCACGCUGGGGUCU